rnacentral:rRNA from 1 species
UGCAGUCGCACGAGAACUCUUUAAGCUUGCUUAGAGAUAGUAAAGUGGCGCACGGGUGAGUAACGCGUGGGUAAUCUACCCUUGAAUCCGGAAUAACUCGCCGAAAGGCGUGCUAAUACCAGAUAAAAUCAUUUCAACUUUGGUUUAAAUGAUCAAAGGUGGCCUCUACAUGUAAGCUACCGUUUAAGGAUGAACCCGCGUACCAUUAGCUUGUUGGUGGGGUAAUGGCCUACCAAGGCGACGAUGGUUAGCUGGUCUGAGAGGAUGAUCAGCCACACUGGAACUGACACACGGUCCAGACUCCUACGGGAGGCAGCAGUGAGGAAUUUUGCGCAAUGGGGGAAACCCUGACGCAGCAACGCCGCGUGAGUGAUGAAGGCCUUCGGGUCGUAAAGCUCUGUCAAGUGGGAAGAACCUAAUAAAUGAUAAUACCAUUUUUUAUUGACGGUACCACUGAAGGAAGCACCGGCUAACUCCGUG